GAUGAACGCUGGCGGCGUGCCUAAUACAUGCAAGUCGAGCGAACAGACGAGGAGCUUGCUCCUCUGACGUUAGCGGCGGACGGGUGAGUAACACGUGGAUAACCUACCUAUAAGACUGGGAUAACUUCGGGAAACCGGAGCUAAUACCGGAUAAUAUAUUGAACCGCAUGGUUCAAUAGUGAAAGACGGUUUUGCUGUCACUUAUAGAUGGAUCCGCGCCGCAUUAGCUAGUUGGUAAGGUAACGGCUUACCAAGGCGACGAUGCGUAGCCGACCUGAGAGGGUGAACCGCCCAACUGGAACUGAGACCCGGUCCCGAACCCCACGGGAGGGCACAGUAGGGAAUCUUCCGCCAAGGGGGAAAGCCUGGAGGGGCAACGGCGCGGUAGGGAUUAAAGGCUUCGGAUCGUUAAACUCUGUUAUUAGGGAAGAACAAAUGUGUAAGUAACUAUGCACGUCUUGACGGUACCUAAUCAGAAAGCCACGGCUAACUACGUG
rnacentral:rRNA from 1 species